UACGGGGGGAGCAAACGUUGUUCGGAAUCACUGGGCGUAAAGGGCGUGUAGGCGGCUGGAUAAGUGGGAUGUUAAAUCCCCCGGCUCAACCGGGGACCUGCAUCUCAUACUGUUCAGCUCGAGCACAUCAGAGGAGACUGGAAUUCCCGGUGUAGUGGUGAAAUGCGUAGAUAUCGGGAGGAACACCAGUGGCGAAGGCGAGUCUCUGGGAUGAUGCUGACGCUGAGGCGCGAAAGCCAGGGGAGCAAACGGG
rnacentral:rRNA from 1 species